rnacentral:lncRNA from 1 species
GCUUUAAAUGUAUUCCUUCCUCUCCUCUAUUUUAUCCUCUCUUCCCUUUUCUCCCUCCUACUCUUUCUUUGCCAAUUGCCCUUAGCACAUGGCCGCUGUCAGCUGGAGUGGUGUUGAGAGAAAACCUGCAGCGGCCUUGCAGAUAAGCCACAUGCCUGAUGUCAACGUGAUCUCACCAGAGAACAAUGGAAAUGAAAAUGCCAGAAUCAAGAAACAAGGAUUUGCUUUGGCUUUCAUCUGAAACACACUUAGUAGAAUUCCUUCUUCCCCCUUGCUUUCAUAAACCUGUUGCUGGUGGGGGUAAACAGUAAAUUUUUUAGAUCCCAGGUAGAUUCAGCAUAAUGGGCAGCCUCUGUCUGUGAUGUCACUUGACUUCUUGUAACUAAUUCCUGGGGGU